UCUCCAUGCUCUUGUUUGAAGAGAAUUUGUCUUGGCUGGGACCCCAUCUGUAGCUCUUGAGGACAGAACUGAAAAGCUCACACUCAU
rnacentral:lncRNA from 1 species